rnacentral:rRNA from 1 species
AUUGAACGCUGGCGGCAGGCUUAACACAUGCAAGUCGAGCGGGGUGAUGGUGCUUGCACUAUCACUUAGCGGCGGACGGGUGAGUAAUGCUUAGGAAUCUGCCUAUUAGUGGGGGACAACACCUCGAAAGGGAUGCUAAUACCGCAUACGUCCUACGGGAGAAAGCAGGGGAUCACUUGUGACCUUGCGCUAAUAGAUGAGCCUAAGUCGGAUUAGCUAGUUGGUGGGGUAAAGGCCUACCAAGGGGACGAUCUGUAGCGGGUCUGAGAGGAUGAUCCGCCACACUGGGACUGAGACACGGCCCAGACUCCUACGGGAGGCAGCAGUGGGGAAUAUAGGACAAUGGGGGGAACCCUGAUCCAGCCAUGCCGCGUGUGUGAAGAAGGCCUUAUGGUUGUAAAGCACUUUAAGCGAGGAGGAGGCUCUUUUGGUUAAUACCCAAGAUGAGUGGACGUUACUCGCAGAAUAAGCACCGGCUAACUCUGUGCCAGCAGCCGCGGUAA